rnacentral:rRNA from 1 species
GACGAACGCUGGCGGCGUGCUUAACACAUGCAAGUCGAACGGUGAAGCUCCAGCUUGCUGGAGUGGAUCAGUGGCGAACGGGUGAGUAACACGUGAGCAACCUGCCCCUGACUCUGGAAUAAGCGCUGGAAACGGCGUCUAAUACUGGAUACGAGAAGGGUCCGCAUGGGCACUUUCUGGAAAGUUUUUCGGUUGGGGAUGGGCUCGCGGCCUAUCAGCUUGUUGGUGAGGUAAUGGCUCACCAAGGCGACGACGGGUAGCCGGCCUGAGAGGGCGACCGGCCACACUGGGACUGAGACACGGCCCAGACUACUACGGGAGGCAGCAGUGGAGAAUAUUGCACAAUGGGCGAAAGCCUGAUGCAGCGACGCCGCGUGAGGGAUGACGGCCUUCGGGUUGUAAACCUCUUUCAGCAGGGAAGAAGCGAAAGUGACGGUACCUGCAGAAGAAGCACCGGCUAACUACGUG